CCUAGGUUUCAACUUUCCUUGAUACCCUGUUUUGGGCAACAAGAACAUGCCUGGUGUGCGGACAGACAUGGAACGGGGGCGGCGAAGGCAGUUGCUCCCCAACUUUGAAAGCGGGGGGGGGGGAGCAAUGAUCACCAACUUGGGCAAAAAAUAAAUAAUUUGCUGGUAGAAAGUCAAUGAAAAAUCUAGAAGUUUUCAGAAUUUGUCUCAAAAUGCAAAUUGUCACACCCAUGGGAACAGCGAUGCAGCUGGGCGCUGGCCCUCCGACUUUGAAAGCACGGGGCAGUGCCCUCCCAACUUCAAGAGAACAUUUGGUAGUUGAUGUUGAAAUUGUCAAAGUUUGGGUGGUGUACCUGUGUUUUCACACAUUCCUCUGCUGGUAACGAGUGACCUUGCCUGCCGUCUGCACCUGUACUCAACAUUUUUCCGAGUAGACUGUUUAUCAUUGUCUUGGUGACCACACUUUCAACUAACUUGAAAAUCGUUCUUAUGUCACUGUGUGCAGAAAACACCUGGAUAGAAUAUCUAACCUCCUUAGACAAAACAUUGAUUCUUAUGUGUCAAAGGCACAUGUGAACUGUGUAGGGAUUGCAUGGCCUGUCUCGACGUGGCUCAACUUUGGAGCCAGCGUGUUGGGUCCCGGCUUCCCGCCAUUCACCGGCGGACCGUUCCGCUUCGUGGACCGCAUCGGCCCCGCACAGCUGGUCAAGGGCAUUAAGCGCUUUGUCGCUGUCUACAGCGUCGGAUUCGAGCUGGUCGGGCACAAGUCGCGCUCUCCACGUGACCGAGCCCGCCCUUAGGCGACCGAUGCCCGCCAACCGGCCGCCGCGCGGACGGAGGUGACGCUGCCGGCCAUCGAGCGGCUCAUCGAGGCGGGCAACGCUCGGAUCAUCGAGACACUGGAAAAGAGACUCGCCCAGUAGGAGCGGAGAAUAGAGAUCCUCGAGGCAGAAUGUCAGGAGACAGAUGUCAUGAUGAUCCGCCGGGAAAUGACAUCCCAGAAAGAGGAGACCAGGGAGCUUAAGGAAAAGGUCGACGGAAUCAACAGAAACCGGCGCAUGUCCUCACUUAUCAUCACGUGUGAGGAAUUCGGUGACAGGAAGCCCGGGGAGGACAUUGAGCUCAUGACGGUGCAAGCGCUCAACAAGCGUUUC